CAGAUAUGCAGGGACAGACUGGCAGAGACAGGGAGUCUCAGGUGGCUGCCCACAGGAAGUGAUGCAGUCCAGUGGCGUGGUGGGACCUUUGUGCAACUGGAGCAUAUGUUUGAGAGAAAAUUGACACCUAGUGAAGGGAAACUGAGGCUUUCUGAAUGCUUUGGUGCUUUCAAUAAAUUGUGCUGAAAAAUG